rnacentral:lncRNA from 1 species
UGGGUCGCUUUUUUUGUACUGUGAAGUCCUGAUUUUCAUUCAGCAAUGCAAAUAAUUCUGGUUUUAGCUUGACCGUGUGAUGUCCAAUCACAGUAUAUAUAUUAGCUUUAAAUCCAUUAAUUUUAGAUAUACGUGUAUGACACAGUGUGGAACUGCACCCGUCACCAGAUAGUAAAGAGAACACUUCUAGGGUCUGUACCACCCAGACUGAUCGUUUUGCACUUCACAUUUCACAGUCAUGGGCCUUUGAAGCCCAUCACUCCAAGCCUUCUGCUUUAUGAACCAAAUUUUGCUGCAUUCAGAAACCCUGAGAGAGCAGGGGAGAGGACAAGUCUUACUGACAGAAGCAGACAGAGCCUCAGUAAAUACAACUCUUCCUAUCAAACCUACAGGAACAGUUCGGCUUUACAGCAGUCACAUUAACAAAGGAAGAGGGAGGCAGAGGAGGGUAUCUUUUCCCAGUCAGUAUCCAAAUUCCCAGAAGGACCAAUGUACAUAAGAGAAAACCAUCAGUCUGUUCACCAAGAUGCAUUACAGUGUUCCAUUUUCCGCUCGUUUUAGGUCAAGUGGAAGCUUCUUUUUUCAGUUUUUCUAAUACUUCAUCUGGUGUCACCGAUACCAAAAUCUUCACCACUUUAUCACGUGAUUUCCCACCCUUCUCUAAAAUAACAUCACUCUUCUUCACUCCUAGCACCUUAGAGAGGUAGCGGCACAGCUCUGCGUUCGCCUCCCCUUCUGAUGGCGGUGCAGCAAUAGCCACACCUACUGCCUCGGCUGUCACAUCUGUCACGGCGCUGCAGCGGGAGCCGGGCUUGGCGCGCACCGACACCCUCACGCCGCCGUCGCCCGCUGCCACCACCGGCCCCGCGGCGGCGCCGGGCUCGGCGGACUCCUUCCCGGCCGCUUUGCCCUUCCGGGGCAUGUCCCCGCCGCGGCCCCGUAGCGGCGCCAACAGCCGCUGACGGCAUCCGGCGAGGGUCAGCAUGGCCCGGCGCCGCCCUUCCGGGAGCAGCGCUAACCCCGCCCCUCGGCUGCGCAUGCGCGUCACGGUGCUCGGCGCUGCGGAGCCGGAACGGAAUGGCUGCGUUGGAGGCGUGCUUUGGGACUUCAACCCGUGGGAAUCAGGACCCUGAAAAACAGCAGAGGAGAUGAGCAGCAGGAUGGAAACGCGAGCACGACCCAUACAAUGUUGAAGUUCAAACACUACUGAUUUACAUCAUUUUAACAAUAAAAAAAUGUCUGUAUCCACAUGACAGAAGUUUCAUUCUAAAUUACAAAUAACAGAAGCAGAUCCUGUAAGUCUAACCAAAAAAGGUUCCUCUGACAGUAGGCCUAAACCACUUGGUUUUACCCCACUAAUAAUGAAUAAAUGUUUUCUGAUACUUCUUGUCACACAAGUUGUCUGUAUUUUCACUUCAUCUCCCACCUCAGAUGCUUUAAUGGGCAGCAUUUUUUCCAAUCCAUUCGACUUUGAAUUCCGUACAGGGAAUUAUCUUUAAAACAAUAUUAUUUUUAAAAGAUUUUACAGAAAAUGUUGAAUGAGUCAAUUUUCCUAGAACAAACCAUUCUUUUCCUUUAUCUUAGCACUAGCAUAUAAAAGCGAGAAAAGAAAGCUGUCAGUGUUCUUGACUAUAGCUGGUCCUUAACAAAAGAAAUCAAACAAGUUUUGACAAAGACAGCUGUCAGAUUAAAUAUUCCAAAUAGUGCUUCUGCCCACACAGAACCACAGUGACUUCCAUUAGGACUUGUUUUAACUCCUGUCAGUGGGAAAUCACAAAGGAUCCAGUUAUAAAUUCUGUGCUGCGGCACAGAACAGAGAGAAAGCAGCUUUAAAAGUUACCAUACAGUUUAGCUACUGCCUCCUUUCACACAAAGCAUAGCAUGAGACCAAGAUGACACGUUCCCUCACAAAACAGAUAAGAGGUAAACC